rnacentral:rRNA from 1 species
AUUGAACGCUGGCGGCAGGCCUAACACAUGCACGUCGAACGAGUGGCGGACGGGUGAGUAAUGUCUGGGAAACUGCCUGAUGGAGGGGGAUCACUACUGGAAACGGUAGCUAAUACCGCAUACCAUCGGAUGUGCCCAGAUGGGGUUAGCUAGUAGGUGGGGUAACGGCUCACCUCGGCGACGAUUCCUCGCUGGUCUGAGAUGAUGACCCGCCAAACUGGAACUGAGACACGGUCCAGAGUCCGACGGGAGGGAGCAGUGGGGAAGAUUGCACAAUGGGCGCAAGCCUGAGGCAGCAAUGCCGCGUGUAUGAAGAAGGCCUGCGGGUUGUAAAGUACUUUCAGCGGGGAGGCGUGACCCGCAGAAGAAGCACCGGCUAACGCCGUGCCAGCAGCCGCGGUAAUUC